AGAGUUUGAUCCUGGCUCAGAAUCAACGCUGGCGGCGCGCUUAACACAUGCAAGUCGAACGAGAAAGCUCCCUUCGGGGGGCAAGUACAGUGGCGCACGGGUGAGUAACACGUGGGUUACCUGCCCUUGAGUGGGGAAUAACUCCGGGAAACUGGAGCUAAUACCGCAUACGUUCCUUCGGGAAGAAAGGCUUCGGCCGCUCAAGGAUGGGCCCGCGGUCGAUUAGCUUGUUGGCGGGGUAAUGGCCCACCAAGGCUUCGAUCGAUAGCCGGCCUGAGAGGGCGCACGGCCACACUGGCACUGAGACACGGGCCAGACUCCUACGGGAGGCAGCAGUGGGGAAUCUUGGACAAUGGGGGAAACCCUGAUCCAGCGACGCCGCGUGAUCGAUGAAGCCCCUCGGGGUGUAAAGAUCUUUCAGUGGGGACAAUAAUGAUGGUACCCACAGAAGCAGGUGCGGCUAACUACGUGCCAGCAGCCGCGGUAAUACGUAGGCACCAAGCGUUGUUCGGAAUUACUGGGCGUAAAGCGAGUGUAGGCGGUUUGCCAAGUCGGUCGUGAAAUCUCCCGGCUCAACUGGGAGGGUGCGGUCGAAACUGGCAGGCUAGAGUACGGAAGGGGAGAGUGGAAUUCCUGGUGUAGCGGUGAAAUGCGUAGAUAUCAGGAGGAACACCGGUGGUGAAGACGGCUCUCUGGUCC
rnacentral:rRNA from 1 species